CCUACGGGAGGCAGCAGUGAGGAAUAUUGGUCAAUGGACGAGAGUCUGAACCAGCCAAGUAGCGUGAAGGAUGACUGCCCUAUGGGUUGUAAACUUCUUUUAUAUGGGAAUAAAAUGUUCCACGUGUGGGAUUUUGUAUGUACCAUAUGAAUAAGGAUCGGCUAACUCCGUGCCAGCAGCCGCGGUAAUACGGAGGAUCCGAGCGUUAUCCGGAUUUCUUGGGUUUAAAGGGAGCGUAGGUGGAUUGUUAAGUCAGUUGUGAAAGUUUGCGGCUCAACCGUAAAAUUGCAGUUGAAACUGGCAGUCUUGAGUACAGUAGAGGUGGGCGGAAUUCGUGGUGUAGCGGUGAAAUGCUUAGAUAGCACGAAGAACUCCGAUUGCGAAGGCAGCUCACUGGACUGCAACUGACACUGAGGCUCGAAAGUGUGGGUAUCAAACAGGAUUAGAUACCCCAGUAGUC
rnacentral:rRNA from 1 species